UAUAUAUAUAUAUAUUUACACGGAGCGUGCGAUGGCGGGAGAGGAGAAUUCCCAGCUUUGCAUCCGCCUCGGGAGCUGAGGGGGGGGGGGGGGACUGGGAUGAGGGAAUAUUGCACUGUCCUUGGAGCAGGGGAAGGAUUCAGGAAGACACGACUGAGAAAAUCAGGAUGCUGCCGGAGCGGGAGAGCCGCUCUCUCUCCCUCUCUCUCCCUCCCUCUCUCCCGGAGAGGGAUCCGCAUUCCCGGCUCUCCGGGAUCCGCAUUCCCGGCUCUCCCGGGGAGAUCCUUCUUCUUUUUUCGUUUUCAUUUUUUUUUUCUCCUGCAGAAGCCAUGAGCAAAAACUCUUCAAAUCCUUCAGGGAAUCGGGAACCGGGAACGGGAUGUCAAAAAAACUUAACCCAAUGCCUUUAACAGACGCAUUAAAAUGUACCCGGGGGGGGUGUGUGUGUGUUGGGGGGGGGGGUUUUCCCAAAAAAAAACCCCCCCCCCCCCCCCCCCCCCCCCCUCUCCCAAAUCGUUGCGGGUGGAAUUUGGGAGCGACGGGAAGAACUGAACGUCGGGAAUGAUUGUGGUGGAGCGGGAACGCCGGAAUCGCCCCGGGAACGCCGGGAGCCUCGGUGACUCCAUUCCCCGUGCUCGGAUCCCCCCUGUCACCUUGACUCAUUGCCUUAAAAACCACGUGUGGACUUGAUUCCCGGCGGGAUCUGGGCCACGGGAGCGCUUGGAUUUCUCAUGGAUUUCCUCAUGGAUCUCUCGUGGAUUUUCCGUGGAUUUUCCGUGGAUGUUGCCCCGAUGCCGGAGCGGCGGCCGCGUCUUUAUCCCGCUGUAUUUUUGCUACAAUCCUCCUACUGUUCCCCUGCUCGGCCACGUUCCCCUUGGGACUGAAUUCCCUCGGGAAUGCGCUCCCAUCCCGGCACCGGGAUGAACCCUCGAUGAUUCCUCGGAAAGGAGCUUUGGGGAAACCCGCCGGGGAAGGAUUCCCGAGGGGAAGGAUUCCCGAGGGGAGCUGCCCCGGGAGCGUCAGGAGCACAGUUUGGAAGUGGAAUUUGGGGCAGGGAUUCCGGGGGCUGCCGGGAUGAGAUGCCGGGAGUCGGAUCCCGUGUGACCCGGAUGGGCUCCGGAUUUUUUAGCCUGGAGCGUGGAGGAAAACGGGAUAUGAGGAACCUUUGGAUCAUCCCCCCCCCACCCCCUCCCCAACCCCGCAGAGGGUGUCCAGGAGUGAACUCAGGAAUUAGAAAACACGAGGCCUUUCCCGAUUUCCCGGCUUUGAUCCAUAUCCUCCCAAGUGCCGGAGCCCGGCGGGAAUUCGGGAAUUCUUGGGGGCGGGGGCUGGGAUUGGCCCCGCCCCUUUCGUUCGAGGCAAAAAAAAAAAAAA